rnacentral:rRNA from 1 species
UACGGAGGGGGCUAGCGUUGUUCGGAAUUACUGGGCGUAAAGCGUGCGCAGGCGGUUUUGGAAGCCAGGUGUGAAAUCCCCGGGCUCAACCUGGGAAUGGCAUUUGGGACUGCAAGGCUGGAGUGCGGCAGAGGAGACUGGAAUUCCUGGUGUAGCAGUGAAAUGCGUAGAUAUCAGGAGGAAUACCGAUGGCGAAGGCAGGUCUCUGGGCUGACACUGACGCUCAUGCACGAAAGCGUGGGGAGCAAACAGG